rnacentral:lncRNA from 1 species
GCUUCAAACUACAACGUUCAUGUAGCACCCAAAACUCUAGAACUAAUGAACUAUGAAAUUAAGAGAAAAGAAGAGAAGAAAAACUAGUUAGAAGCCUCCUCCAAGCGUGGUGUGUGUUCCCCCACGUCUCCUCUCCAAAAUAGUCUCCCUAGGUCUCAGAUGUGUCAAAAGUCCUGAAAAUAGCAUUUUUAUAUACAUUUAUACCAAGUAGGGCCAGGCCCAGACGAAAAAACCUUCUCCCGCGUGAAAUAGGACAAUCACUCUGUAAAAGUUGUACAGGUGCGCCGCAUGGGGCGACGCACUGUAUGGCACGGUAAUGGGAAUUCACAAAAAUGCAAAACAUAAAAAUGUAGCCCUUUCGAAUAGCUUUCCAACGAUAUAUUGUGGAGCCCAAACGAAGUUCUGAGUGAAAAGUUAUGCUUAUUUUACUAGACAAUGCACCAUAUGCCGGCUCGAUUCUUCGUUUCGUUCUUAACUAUCAUCCGUUGAUCCCCGAACACGAUCCCAACUUAAUUCCUUGGGCUUUUACUCAGACUUCAAAGCUCCAAAUCACUUGAAUUCACUUCAUAAUAUCUAUAUAGCUCGGAAUCACUCCUACAAGGCAUAAAAUAUACAAUUUAGUGCAAACACUAGCGACUAAAGAUCAAACUCAAUUAAAGUGCAGUAAAUUAGAGUAUAGUAAGCGACUAAAAUACAUAAUUAUAGCCUAUCAUCAAUAACUUGUGGUAUAAAAUUAAUAUCUUGUUGUAGAAAAGUCCAAAUCAUGGUCUGUUUAAUUCUACAGAAGCUAGACUUGUAUUUCUAGAACAUAUCCGAAAUUGAAUUAGAAUCUUCGCGGAUCACCCUAGGUGAUUUUUUGAAGUUAGCCUUAAUUUCUGUCAUGCUGAUAUUUUCAGAUUUAUGUAACUUCACCAAAAGUUUUAGGAACCUCGAAAUCGCAAACCAUUUGAUUUAUCAGAAACUAGAGUUCAAUAUCUACAACAUAUCUGAAAUUCAGAUGUAAACACUUUCAGGACCGUUCUAGAUGAUUUUUUAAAGUCGGCUCUACAUUCUAACACACCAACAGUUUCAGAUUAUCACUGCUUCACCAAAUGUUUUAUAUCUUGAUGUAGGGACCUCAGAAUCACAAAACAUUUGAUUCAUCAAAAACUAAAGUUCAAAAUCUAUAACAUAUCCGAAAUUCAGAAUUAAACACUUUCAAGAUCAUUCUAGAUGAUAUUUUGGUGUCGGCUCUAUAUUCUAACUCGCCAACAGUUUCAGAUUAUCGUGGCUUCACAAAAAGGUUUGUAUCUUGAUGUUGGAAUGUCAGAAUUGAAAACCGUUUUGAUUUAUAGAAAAUAGACUCAGAGCGCUGCAUUCUCAUAAACCCCAUACUACUUCAUCAAUUGAGCAAUAAUCUUUUGGUUCUUGCAAGCCGCUUUGGUAAUUUUUUUUACUUUUUUUCUUCUAUGUUUUCUUUGAUUGUUCUUUUGUUUACCCUUUUUUUGUUGGUAAAACGAGAAGGAUAUAUUUUUGUUUAACGAGAUUAUCUAUGCAUGAGGAGGAUAAUCUUAGGGUGUGAAAGGAUAGUACUCAUCCCCGCCCGAAUAUCAGAGAGAUUACUCUGAAGAUGACCCGAAUAUCGGAGAGAUUACUCUCAAGGUGGCUCGACUGUCGGAGAGAUUACUCUCAAGGUGACUCGACUAUCGGAGAGAUUACUCUCAAGGUGGCCCGACUAUCGCAGAGAUUACUCUCAAGGUGGCCCAACUAUCGGAGAGAUUACUCUCAAUGUGGCCCGACUAUUGGAGAGAUUACUCUCAAGGUAACCUGACUAUCAGAGAGAUUACUCUCAAGAUGGCCCGACUAUCGGAGAGAUUACUCUCAAGAUGGCCCGAAUAUUGGAGAGAUUACUCUCAAGGUGACCCAACUAUCGAAGAGAUUACUCUCAAUGUGGUCCGACUAUCGGAGAGAUUACUCUCAAGAUGGCCCCACUAUCGAAGAGAUUACUCUCAAGAUGACCUGAAUAUUGGAGAGAUUACUCUCAGGGUGUGAAGGGAUGGAUACUCAUCCCCACCCAAAAAAUCGGAGGUCAUUUCAGGACGCAAAGGUUCAUACGACAUAUCGAAGUACAAAUCCAUGACAACAAAUAGAUGGAUAAAUCCUCAACAUCAUAUGGAGGACAAAUCCAUGGCAGCAUAUAGAAGAGUAAAUCCAUAAAGAGGUUAACUUAAGGUGCAAAUGGACUUAAAUGUCCACCUUAAGAUUGGAAAGUUAUAGUUCCUUUUAAGGAUAACCCAUCAAAGAGGCCAACUUAAGGUGCAAAGGGACUAACAUGUCCAUCUUAAGAUUGGAAAAUUAUAGUUCCUUUUAAGGAUAAACCCGUGAAGAAGCCAACUUAAGGUGUAAAAGAACUAAAAUGUCCACUUUAAGAUUAGAAAAUUAUAAAGCUUCAACUCAAAGAGUUGGUGGACUUGAUGACAUCAACGUGAAUACUUGGUGGGCUUUGUAGACUUGAACUUGAAGACCGACAAACUUAAAGAUUUGAUGGACUUGAAGAUUUGACGGACUUUGACACUUUAACCUAAUGACUUUGAGGGCUUAAAUGUUUCAACUUGAAGACCGGCGAGUUUGAGGACCUCAACUUAAAGACUGACAGACUUGAAGAUUUCAACUUGAAGACUUGGAGGCUUGAAUAUUUCGACUUGAAGACCGAAGAACUUGAAGGCCGGCACACUUAAAGAUUUAGCGAACAUGAAGACAUAGUGAACCCCCGGACUUUAGCAUAAAUACUUGGUAGCCUCCAAAAAGACUAUAAUCAUCCCAUUGAAGACACUGGUUUACCAUGGAGGCUUGCCCCCUCUAAGUCAUAUGAGAUCCAAAUUUCAAAAGAAGAAUGAAAUUUCAGCUCGAUUUUCAAGUGUUGGUUGAAUGAAUUACUUUCAUCAUACUUUAUUUGGACAACGAUAUUAUGUAUCUUUUGGACUUAUGCGACUGAACUCAGAAUGAAACUCUAAGAUGCCUACGUACCUCGCUGAAGAGGAUAAAGUCAUACUGUAGUUCAGAAUGGGGUAAUUUAUUUUCUUAUUUUAUUUUUAUUUUUUAUGUCCUAACUUUUUCCAAGGCCGCCUCUUUCGAGGUUUUCAACCUAGUGGACUUUUUUUUUGGGUCGUAUACAGUUUAGACUCAUGCAGGCCAGAAAUGUAGAAACAUGCAGUUUAGGCUCAUGCGUCAAGGAGCGUUGCAACUUCAAAGACAAUACUUCUUCAAAAAGUUACCAUUUAUAGGGCCGAUUCUCAUGCCAUCUGCAUCAACCAGCUUGUAAGCCCCACAUGAAUAAACUUCUUGCAUGACAUAUGGCCCAUACCAUUUUGAGGUGUACUUCCCUACAGGUUUAUGGGAAGUAAUAAUGGGUCUUCGUAUGACAAGGACUUGAUCUCCUACUUGGAAGGAUCUUGGGCGAACUCUUUUAUUGAAGGCGCAAGACAAUCUAGCCCGAUAACAUUCAAGACUCUAUUAAGCUUCCAACCUCUUCUCAUCAAUAGCCUCCAACUCUGCUAAUCGAAGUCCAGCCUUUUCUUCAUCAGUGAUCCUUUCUUGAAUAGCUAAUCGUAAUGAAGGUAUUUGACAUUCUAGUGGCAAGACAGCUUCGACUCCAUAAACGAGUGCAUAAGGGGUCACUUGUGUUGGCGUGCUGUGAGUUUUCCUAUAUGCUGUCACACCUUUUUUAUGUUCCACGCAAACCCAUUACGUGGUUGAGUGAGAAAAGUUUUUUCAAUUAAAGUGACGUUUUGAAAAGGAAUUAUUUAUUAUUUGGAGUCGCCACUUAGAAUUGAGUUUUGGUGUUCUAAGUCACCUUUUAUUUGAAUCCCCUUUCAAAAAGAAGGUUUGACUCUUAAUUUAUGGUCUACAAAAACAAAAGGCUGAGUAAGGAAUUCUGUUGAUCGAGGGGAAGGUGUGAGGCACCCCUCGAGUCCCGUAAUUCUAACACGGUCGCUUUUAUUGACUAAUGUAAGGCUUAAUCAACUUUUAGCUAUCCUUGUAUUUUAUUGAUUAUGGUUUAUUUAUUACCGCUUAAUUAAUUAUUAUAUUUUAUUAAUUGUGUUCACCAAGAUGCAGAACGCACACAAGGUACUUCUUUGAAAUUAAAUGUUAAACCAAGAUACAGAAUGUACACAUGGUUAUAACGUAAUUAUUUUAAAUAUAAAGGCAUCGAGACGCGGAAUGCGCACAUAAUCCUUUCAUUAUUUAAGCAUAUCAAUCCAAGGUUUGGAUAUGAACAUAUGGACUAAUAUUCAAAGUACAUCUAAAUUUUUUCUAGCAUUUUUAGAGUAUUCAAAUUAUUUGUCUCUUUCAUACCCGAGACAUUUAUUUAUGUGUUUUUCUUUUAUAUUGUGACGAGUCAUGAAUUAGUUCGUGGCUCAUCUCGCACCCUUAUAAUUAUUUGUUCUCUAAUUAUUUAUUUCUCAGAAAGGUUUUGGAAUCAAUACGCAGCCCCAUGGCCCUCUCAUUUAGUUUUCAUUAUGUGUAAAAGAUAUACUAGGCUUAAUACAAAUAUUUAAACAUGGUAUUGUUUGGAUGAAACAAGCCAAUUUAUUAGCGUUAUAUGCAAUGAAUAUAAAUAAUCAAUAUGCUCAGGAAAUAAACAGUCCUAAAGAAUUUUUUUUUUAAAAACAAUUUAUCAAUUGUAAAUGAAAAAAAAGAGAUAAAAUAAUUAAUGAUAAAAAUUAUUCUCCAGCUUGUCUUGACAUGCACAUUUGGAGGUCAAAUGGAAAAAUCAACUGAAGGCCUAUCAUAAAAACUAAAGAAAAUUCCUUAAGAUACGCCAAUGGAGUUACUUCAAAUUUACCACCAAAUCUAGUCUAACAACUAAUUCAAAUAUCAUUUUAAUACUAAUACAUGAACUUUCAAACAAAUACAUGAAUUAAUUACCUAAGAAUCUGUAAGGAGACUAAUGAAAACUUUUGACAUGCAUCUUUACUUAAAAAUAAAAGGAAGAAGAAAAAAAUGGGCAACCUACUAAUUUGUGCAGCCAAUUCGUUGUAAAAUUUUAAUCCAUAACAAUUUAAUAUAUAUAUAUAUAUGAGCAUAUGUAGUGAUUCUAACUAUUUACAAAGAAACAAGAUUAGGCAACCUGAAUAAUGGACUGAAUCAUGGAAUAAUUUUUGCAUUCAUAUUUCAAUAUCCAAAAUGAACCCAAUUCUAAGGUGUCAAACAGAUAUAAAAUAACGCUAAUGAGAGAGUCAUAAGCACACUUCAUACAUAAUAAUAAAACUGAAAAAAAAUAGAGGAGAAAAAAUAAACUUAGAAGAGUUCCUUCUCUUAAAAUAUUUCAAACAGCACAGAAUUCAUUCAUCUCUAGAUAACUUUUCAAAAGGCAAAACUGGAACCUUAAAACAAGUAAAAGGUGAAUAGAUAAUAUAGAAGAAAACCUGUAGAGCAAAGCUUCUUCAAUAUAUAAGAGAGGAGCCUACAAAAUAAUUUUAUAGUGACGAAAAUCCCAGCAACAAACAAUAGCGAGAGGAGAUAAGAACCCCGAUCAAGACUGAAAUCUUAGAGCGAAAACGGAACCCGAACGUCGACUGAAAUUUAAACUCCAUGCUUUCUCCUUCCAAAUAUUUUACAAAUGAAAGGGUGCAAUUCUUUCUUUUUAUCUAAAAAAAAAUCCCCUGUUAUCUCUUAAGCUUGUCUCUUAAAUAUCCUUCAAUUCCCACCCCCUUUCGUCUGUCAAGUUCUCAAUUAAUUAGUAGUGAUCAAAAGCUAGUACCUAAUGAAGUGGGGAAGAUCGUGUGUAUGAUCAUGGGAUUGAGGGGAUAUGGGGGUUGGGGCGUGAGUGUGUGGGUUGGUGUAGAGUGACGUGAGGGGUGGGGGGAAGUUGGGAUUUGUUAGCUUAG